AACAAAUUAAAGUUAAAAUCAGCACUUUAAGUUCCAUAUAUUCAAGCUGCUGAUGAUCUGGCUGAGAUGUUAGCCUGGGGUGGCACCCGAGUGGGUGGAACAUCCCUAACCCGUGGGCUUGCUUUGCAGAGUAAGGAGUGCAGAGCUGGGAGGGGCUGGAGCACAGCCAUUGCAGCAGCACCCAGCCCAUUUGGACUCAUGGUAGCACCCAAGGCAUGUGGGGGAGGCAUGCAGCACCUCGUUAUCCACCUGCCAGGGCCGGACAGGACGGCUGCAGAGCCACAGGUGUGUGCAGCACUGCUUAUAUAUUCACCUGAUAUAUACACCUCAGAGGUGCUGUACGGGCCUUUAUUACAAUGCUGGCAUAGAGUGCUGUUGUUGCUAAAGCUGUCAGGGCUUAUAUCACUUGAAAAAUAAUUGUCCAGUCUCUGAGGACCUGGGUAGUGCUUAACACAACCGUUUUUCUAGGCCAUAAUAUAAAGCAUGACGUUGAUGUACUGCUACUGCACCUCAUAACUGAAUUCUAGUGCCUGCGUUCCUUGGGUUUAUUAGGGACGUUCAGAUUGAAAUUGCAAAUCUCCAUGCAAAGCUCUCUGCCAUUGCUCCCAGGUGGGGCACCCACAGGGCUCCAGUCUCACCAAUGGCCGUGCUGCUCAGGGGGUGCUCAGGAGCCCGGGUGUGAUGCACAGAGGGUUGCAAGGUAAGCAGGAGGCAGUGGGGAAUAACAAAAGGCUGAUGAAGUUUUCCUGAACUAUGUGUUCUUUUUAAUUCUCGCUUCCUUUAUAGAUGCUCUGAUAAACAGCAAACAGCUUGUUAACAGUAGCAAAAUGGAAAUUUCCCCUGCACAGUAUAAAUUUCAGUGAUAUACAUGAAUAUAAAACAGUGUAAAGCUACACUCUUCUUUACAAAAACAAAUGUGCCUCAACAUUGUACAAGAGACACUAAUACAGUACAGCCAUUAAGAAAUAUAUAACGUUGACAUUAAUUGAAGUGAAACGAGGUGUGCUUGGAUGAAUAGAACUCAGGGAAACAGGUAAAUUGUGCUUGUAAGUGAGGGAGGGACUCUGCAAUAGGAUGGCUGUUGUGCAUGGUAUGACUGCCAGGUCAUUAUUGCCAUCCCUGGAAACAGCCAUGGGCUCAGCACCGUGUAGCACUGGUCAUAUGCGCCCCUGAAUUGCCUCUGUUGUUUGCUUGUGCAGCUCACACCCUUCUUUCGUACCUGCAUCCUUUUGGUGACAUCACGUUUUUUAGUGUGUUUUACUGCCCAGUACCAUAUAACACAUGGAUCUACUCACCUAAUGAGGCAGUGGUUGUUGGCAUCCCAAUGUAGAGGAGCAUAAUGGCUCGGUGAAGACAUGUUUAUGAACUCUAAUGCAACUUUUGUGGUACGUUUUAUGUAAUUGAAAAAUUAUCAACCUGACAUUAAAACAAGUCUUGGUUUAAGGGAGUGUAUUUUUCGCUAAUGGAUUGCUACAUUUCAUUUCCAUAUCCUUUUUCCAGCAAUUUUGUGUUUAAAUAUCAUUGCCCCUUUGAAUUAUGUAAGGCUUUUUUCACUGUGAUGUUACAGCAAUUUGCCAGCCUCAUGUGUGUAAUUAGUUUAAUUAGCACUACAGCUUUAAUGGGAGCAUUGGCGGCUGCUAUACACGCUCUGUUCUUCACUGGACAAAGUCAAAAGUUGUGUUUCUCAGUCAGCUGCAGCUGAAGAGCUGAGUCCUUCCCAGGCUCUUUGUCCCCAUGUUUUGCCCUUCCAGGGAGCAUCACGUUCUUAAUUUUGGCUGUAAUCCCUGCCUGUGUCCUCUCUCCACUUGGGACACAGGAGUGCACACUGGGCAAGCUCAUUGAACUGGUUUGCUCAGCUGUCAAAGUACAUUCCCUUGGCCUU
ensembl:lncRNA